rnacentral:rRNA from 1 species
UACGAAGGGGCUAGCGUUGCUCGGAAUCAUUGGGCGUAAAGCGCACGUAGGCGGUCUGUUAUGUCGGAUGUGAAAGCCCUUGGCUCAACUGAGGAAGUGCAUCCGAAACUGGCAGGCUGGAGUACUAAAGAGGGUCGCGGAAGUUCCUGGUGUAGCGGUGAAAUGACGCAGAUAUCAGGAGGAAGACCAGUGGCGAAGGCGGGUCUCUGGACAGUUCCUGACACUGAGGCACGAAGGCCAGGGGAGCAAACGGG